rnacentral:rRNA from 1 species
UACGGAGGGUGCAAGCAUUGUCCGGAUUUAUUGGGUUUAAAGGGUGCGUAGGCGGCCCUGUAAGUCAGUGGUGAAAGCCUCCAGCUCAACUGGAGAACUGCCAUUGAUACUGCAGGGCUUGAGUACAGACGAGGUUGGCGGAAUUGAUGGUGUAGCGGUGAAAUGCAUAGAUACCAUCAAGAACUCCGAUUGCGUAGGCAGCUAACUAGGCUGUAACUGACGCUGAGGCACGAAAGCGUGGGGAGCGAACAGG